AGCUCCAAUAGCGUAUAUUAAAGUUGUUGCAGUUAAAAAGCUCGUAGUUGGAUCUCAGUCUCGAUCGAGCGGUCCGUCUUCCGACGGUACUGCGCGAAUCGGACAUUCCGCCGCGUUUCUCCUCAUGCCCUUAAUUGAGUGUGAGGGGAGAGUGGUACGUUUACUUUGAAAAAAUUAGAGUGCUCAAAGCAGGCCAUGGCCUGAAUAGUCGUGCAUGGAAUGAUGGAAUAGGGCCUCGGUUCUAUUUUGUUGGUUUCCGGAACUCGAGGUAAUGAUUAAUAGGGACGGACGGGGGCAUUUGUAUUGCGACGUUAGAGGUGAAAUUCUUAGAUCGUCGCAAGACAAACUACUGCGAAAGCAUUUGCCAAGAAUGUUUUCA
rnacentral:rRNA from 1 species